rnacentral:ncRNA from 1 species
AGACAGGGGAGCUUCAUAUAGAGGCUGAGAGUGAGCGUGAGCGUUCUGACCCUAAUACCUGAUGUGGAUAAUGCCAACGUAGGAAACAUGA